rnacentral:rRNA from 1 species
AGGGUUUGAUUCUGGCUCAGAUUGAACGCUGGCGGCAUGCCUUACACAUGCAAGUCGAACGGUAACGCGGGGCAACCUGGCGACGAGUGGCGAACGGGUGAGUAAUGCAUCGGAACGUGCCUGGUAGUGGGGGAUAACUGCUCGAAAGAGCAGCUAAUACCGCAUACGACCUGAGGGUGAAAGGGGGGGAUCGCAAGACCUCCCGCUAUCGGAGCGGCCGAUGUCGGAUUAGCUAGUUGGUGGGGUAAAGGCCCACCAAGGCAACGAUCCGUAGCUGGUCUGAGAGGACGACCAGCCACACUGGGACUGAGACACGGCCCAGACUCCUACGGGAGGCAGCAGUGGGGAAUUUUGGACAAUGGACGCAAGUCUGAUCCAGCAAUGCCGCGUGCGGGAAGAAGGCCUUCGGGUUGUAAACCGCUUUUGUCAGGGAAGAAAUCUUCUGGGUUAAUACCUCGGGAGGAUGACGGUACCUGAAGAAUAAGCACCGGCUAACUACGUGCCAGCAGCCGCGGUAAUACGUAGGGUGCAAGCGUUAAUCGGAAUUACUGGGCGUAAAGCGUGCGCAGGCGGUUAUGCAAGACAGGUGUGAAAUCCCCGAGCUCAACUUGG